GACGAACGCUGGCGGCGUGCUUAACACAUGCAAGUCGAACGAUGAAGCCGGAGCUUGCUCCGGUGGAUUAGUGGCGAACGGGUGAGUAACACGUGAGCAAUCUGCCCUUGACUCUGGGAUAACUGCGGGAAACUGUAGCUAAUACCGGAUACGACACCUUGGGGCAUCCCAGGGUGUGGAAAGAAUUUCGGUCAAGGAUGAGCUCGCGGCCUAUCAGCUAGUUGGUGAGGUAAUGGCUCACCAAGGCGACGACGGGUAGCCGGCCUGAGAGGGUGACCGGCCACACUGGAACUGAGACACGGUCCAGACUCCUACGGGAGGCAGCCGUGGGGAAUAUUGCACAAUGGGCGAAAGCCUGAUGCAGCAACGCCGCGUGAGGGAUGAAGGCCUUCGGGUUGUAAACCUCUUUUAGCAGGGAAGAAGCGAAAGUGACGGUACCUGCAGAAAAAGCACCGGCUAACUACGUGCCAGCAGCCGCAGUAA
rnacentral:rRNA from 1 species